GACGAACCGUGCAAACGUUGUUCGGAAUCACUGGGCUUAAAGGGCGCGUAGGCGGCGCUAUCAAGUCGGGGGUGAAAGUCUUUCGGCUCAACCGGAAAAGUGCCUUCGAUACUGGUGCGCUCGAGGAAGGUAGGGGCCACGGGAACGACCAGUGGAGCGGUGAAAUGCGUUGAGAUUGGUAGGAACGCCGGUGGCGAAGCGCGAUGGC
rnacentral:rRNA from 1 species